rnacentral:rRNA from 1 species
GACGAACGCUGGCGGCGUGCUUAACACAUGCAAGUGGAGCGACGAACCGGGGCUUGCCCCGGGGCAGAGCCGCGAACGGGUGAGUAACACGUGGGUAACCCACCCCGAUGACCGGGACAACCCGAGGAAACUCGGGCUAAUACCGGAUGUGCUCCUUGACCCCGAGGUCAAGGCGUAAAGAUAGCUUCGGCCUUCGCAUCGGGACGGGCCCGCGGCCCAUUAGCUUGUUGGUGGGGUAACGGCCUACCAAGGCGACGAUGGGAGCUGGUCUGAGAGGAUGAUCAGCCACACUGGGACUGAGACACGGCCCAGACUCCUACGGGAGGCAGCAGUGGGGAAUAUUGGACAAUGGGCGAAAGCCUGAUCCAGCCAUGCCGCGUGAGUGAUGAAGGCCC